CAGUUACAGCAGGAUAGGAGCCAAGAUAGUCAAUGGUGCAGCUCACUUUUUUGGUGGUCAGAGUCCCAUCUACCUAUAAUGCUAUUCUUGGCUGACCUGAUCUUAAUGUUCUUGAAGCCAUCGUUUCUACUUACCAUCUACUGGUGCAUUUUCCGACUAAGAAAUUGGUGAAAUGCGUAGCGAUCAGAUGGUGGCUCGAUAGUAUUUUAUGAUUUCUGUUAAAAUAAAAUAACUUACAGAAACUAUGCCAGUUGAC
rnacentral:lncRNA from 1 species